UGGACUAAUAUUUCGUCCGUUUUGCUCUAUCUCAAACCGUUUAGGCGCGAGAAGGUCUUUCUUGACGAAAAUAAGCUAAAAAUUGCCAUAGUGAACAAGAGGUUGUAGAAAAAGGCCUAAAAACCGCAAAAUAGGAAAGAAACUCUCCCCCCACCCCCAAAAAAACGUUUUCUAAGCAGAAGGGUGGGUUGUAGUCGCGGUGCUUCACCGUUACAUCCCUUUCUCAUGUCAACGGAGCAAACUCAAAGAAAAGGGUUUAAGCGGGCCGAAGGCCCGCUACAUCAUUCGAUCAUGUUCUUCAGCAAAUCGCGUGACAGAAAUGGUCGGGCCGAAGGCCCAACUAUCGCCACCGGCAGGCCAAGCAGGCUCGGCCCCUGUCGAACGGAGUUGCCAGCGGAGCAAAGCGGAGCUGGCAAUUUCGUUUGGCGGAAAGGCGGGCCUGCUUGUUGAAGUAAAAUAUGCAUAGCACAGAGGACAAAAUGGUAAAAUUUACAAGGUAUUUUCUUGGCACUAUAUCCAUCAUUACAAUUGGUCAACACAACACAAGAAAAUUCCUCACUCAGAUGCUUGAAAAUUUUCCCCAUUGUUUGCCGUGUCAGCAUAAGUGUUUGCCGUGUUAGCAAAAUUAUUUGCUGUGCCAGCAAAAUUGUUUGCUGUGUUCGCAAAAUUAUGUACUAUGUCAGCAAGUUGUGUGCUGGGUCAGCAAAUUAGUUUCCGCGUCAGCAAAAUUAUUUGUCGUGUCAGCAAAAACAAAUCAAAGGCACACUAACUGAAAAUUAAAGCUCUAUCAUCUGCAACAGGUGGUCGCGGCGACAUGACGCUCUGGCCCCCAGCGCGCGGCGCGUGUGGUAGAAGCGGGUUCGUUUAAAAAUCCGACGACGUAUUCGGGCUCAGCGGACACUUUCGUACCCGGGCGAAGUAGGUAAUUUCUCAGGUGGAAGGAUGUAGCUCAAGGGCCGCUCAAGGAUUUAAAAGAACAUUUGGUCUUUUUAGGCCGCUCUUCUGCUUUAGAAAAGCUAUAUCUAGCGGGCUUAUGCAAACGACGUCGUGUCUGUCUGUCUGUUCCACUAAAACGACAUGUUUUAGCGACUUCAAAUUUUCAGGGUAUCUUAAAGUUCACUCCUACGCCUACGGCAAAUCCCAGCAACCACCUCUAAGGGGCUGAAAGGGGGUGUCAAAGAAAAUGAAGCAGGUCAAAAAAGUCAAAAAAAAAAAAAUAAUAAUAA